UUACGGCCAAAUCACAUUGAAACACCAGUUCUUGUAUGAUCACUGAAGUUAGGCAGUGUCCAGCCAGGUCAGUACCCAGAUGGGUGACUGCUUGGGAAUGCCAGGUGCUGUAA